rnacentral:rRNA from 1 species
UACGUAGGGGGCGAGCGUUGUCCGGAAUCAUUGGGCGUAAAGCGCGUGUAGGCGGCUCGAUAAGUCCGGUGUGAAACCUUGGGGCUCAACCCCAAGCCUGCACUGGAUACUGUCGAGCUAGAGUCCAGUAGGGGAGCGUGGAAUUCCUGGUGUAGCGGUGAAAUGCGCAGAUAUCAGGAGGAACACCAGCGGCGAAGGCGGCGCUCUGGGCUGGAACUGACGCUGAGGAGCGAAAGCGUGGGGAGCGAACAGG